rnacentral:misc_RNA from 1 species
UACGGAGGGUGCGAGCGUUAAUCGGAAUUACUGGGCGUAAAGCGCGCGUAGGCGGCGGGCUCAGUCAGAUGUGAAAGCCCCGGGCUUAACCUGGGAACGGCAUCCGGAACUGUCAAGCUAGAGUGCAGGAGAGGAAGGUAGAAUUCCCGGUGUAGCGGUGAAAUGCGUAGAGAUCGGGAGGAAUACCAGUGGCGAAGGCGGCCUUCUGGACUGACACUGACGCUGAGGUGCGAAAGCGUGGGUAGCAAACAGG